rnacentral:rRNA from 1 species
AGAGGUGGCAAGCGUUGUUCGGAAUUACUGGGCGUAAAGGGCGCGUAGGCGGCCUUCUAAGUCGGACGUGAAAGCCCCAGGCUUAACCUGGGAACUGCGUCCGAUACUGGAAGGCUUGGAUUCGGGAGAGGGAUGUGGAAUUCCAGGUGUAGCGGUGAAAUGCGUAGAUAUCUGGAGGAACACCGGUGGCGAAGGCGGCAUCCUGGACCGAAAUCGACGCUGAGGCGCGAAAGCUAGGGGAGCAAACGGGAUUAGAUACCCCGGUAGUCCUAGCCCUAAACGAUGAAUGCUUGGUGUGGCGGGUAUCGAUCCCUGCCGUGCCGAAGCUAACGCAUUAAGCAUUCCGCCUGGGGAGUACGGUCGCAAGGCUG